AGUGAACGCUGGCGGUAGGCCUAACACAUGCAAGUCGAACGGCAGCACAGUAAGAGCUUGCUCUUACGGGUGGCGAGUGGCGGACGGGUGAGGAAUACAUCGGAAUCUACAUUUUCGUGGGGGAUAACGUAGGGAAACUUACGCUAAUACCGCAUACGACCUACGGGUGAAAGCAGGGGAUCUUCGGACCUUGCGCGAUUGAAUGAGCCGAUGUCGGAUUAGCUAGUUGGCGGGGUAAAGGCCCACCAAGGCGACGAUCCGUAGCUGGUCUGAGAGGAUGAUCAGCCACACUGGAACUGAGACACGGACCAGACUCCUACGGGACGCAGCAGUGGGGAAUAUUGGACAAUGGGCGCAAGCCUGAUCCAGCCAUACCGCGUGGGUGAAGAAGGCCUUCGGGUUGUAAAGCCCUUUUGUUGGGAGAGAAAAGCAGCAGGUUAAUACCCCGCUGUUCUGACGGUACCCAAUGAAUAAGCACCGGCUAACUUCGUG
rnacentral:rRNA from 1 species